AGACCCGAAACCCGGUGAUCUAGCCAUGGGCAGGUUGAAGGUUGGGUAACACUAACUGGAGGACCGAACCGACUAAUGUUGAAAAAUUAGCGGAUGACCUGUGGCUGGGGGUGAAAGGCCAAUCAAACCGGGAGAUAGCUGGUUCUCCCCGAAAGCUAUUUAGGUAGCGCCUCGUGAAUUCAUCUCCGGGGGUAGAGCACUGUUUCGGCUAGGGGGCCAUCCCGGCUUACCAACCCGAUGCAAACUGCGAAUACCGGAGAAUGUUAUCACGGGAGACACACGGCGGGUGCUAACGUCCGUCGUGAAGAGGGAAACAACCCAGACCGCCAGCUAAGGUCCCAAAGUCAUGGUUAAGUGGGAAACGAUGUGGGAAGGCCCAGACAGCCAGGAUGUUGGCUUAGAAGCAGCCAUCAUUUAAAGAAAGCGUAAUAGCUCACUGGUCGAGUCGGCCUGCGCGGAAGAUGUAACGGGGCUAAACCAUGCACCGAAGCUGCGGCAGCGAACGUAUCACCCAAGACAACUUUACGGAGUUGACGAUUGACGGAGCGAAGCGACGUCAAAGCGUUCAUUAAAGUCGAGUUGGCUUAGGGAUACGUUCGUUGGGUAGGGGAGCGUUCUGUAAGCCUGUGAAGGUGUGUCGUGAGGCAUGCUGGAGGUAUCAGAAGUGCGAAUGCUGACAUAAGUAACGAUAAAGCGGGUGAAAAGCCCGCUCGCCGGAAGACCAAGGGUUCCUGUCCAACGUUAAUCGGGGCAGGGUGAGUCGACCCCUAAGGCGAGGCCGAAAGGCGUAGUCGAUGGGAAACGGGUUAAUAUUCCCGUACUUGGUGUUACUGCGAAGGGGGGACGGAGAAGGCUAUGUUGGCCGGGCGACGGUUGUCCCGGUUUAAGCGUGUAGGUGUGUGUUCCAGGUAAAUCCGGUUCACUUUAACACUGAGGCGUGACGACGAGGCACUACGGUGCUGAAGCAACAAAUGCCCUGCUUCCAGGAAAAGCCUCUAAGCAUCAGGUAACACGAAAUCGUACCCCAAACCGACACAGGUGGUCAGGUAGAGAAUACCAAGGCGCUUGAGAGAACUCGGGUGAAGGAACUAGGCAAAAUGGUGCCGUAACUUCGGGAGAAGGCACGCUGACACGUAGGUGAAGUGAUUUACUCAUGGAGCUGAAGUCAGUCGAAGAUACCAGCUGGCUGCAACUGUUUAUUAAAAACACAGCACUGUGCAAACACGAAAGUGGACGUAUACGGUGUGACGCCUGCCCGGUGCCGGAAGGUUAAUUGAUGGGGUCAGCGCAAGCGAAGCUCCUGAUCGAAGCCCCGGUAAACGGCGGCCGUAACUAUAACGGUCCUAAGGUAGCGAAAUUCCUUGUCGGGUAAGUUCCGACCUGCACGAAUGGCGUAAUGAUGGCCAGGCUGUCUCCACCCGAGACUCAGUGAAAUUGAACUCGCUGUGAAGAUGCAGUGUACCCGCGGCAAGACGGAAAGACCCCGUGAACCUUUACUAUAGCUUGACACUGAACAUUGAGCCUUGAUGUGUAGGAUAGGUGGGAGGCUUUGAAGUGUGGACGCCAGUCUGCAUGGAGCCGACCUUGAAAUACCACCCUUUAAUGUUUGAUGUUCUAACGUGGACCCGUAAUCCGGGUUGCGGACAGUGUCUGGUGGGUAGUUUGACUGGGGCGGUCUCCUCCUAAAGAGUAACGGAGGAGCACGAAGGUUGGCUAAUCCUGGUCGGACAUCAGGAGGUUAGUGCAAUGGCAUAAGCCAGCUUGACUGCGAGCGUGACGGCGCGAGCAGGUGCGAAAGCAGGUCAUAGUGAUCCGGUGGUUCUGAAUGGAAGGGCCAUCGCUCAACGGAUAAAAGGUACUCCGGGGAUAACAGGCUGAUACCGCCCAAGAGUUCAUAUCGACGGCGGUGUUUGGCACCUCGAUGUCGGCUCAUCACAUCCUGGGGCUGAAGUAGGUCCCAAGGGUAUGGCUGUUCGCCAUUUAAAGUGGUACGCGAGCUGGGUUUAGAACGUCGUGAGACAGUUCGGUCCCUAUCUGCCGUGGGCGCUGGAGAACUGAGGGGGGCUGCUCCUAGUACGAGAGGACCGGAGUGGACGCAUCACUGGUGUUCGGGUUGUCAUGCCAAUGGCACUGCCCGGUAGCUAAAUGCGGAAGAGAUAAGUGCUGAAAGCAUCUAAGCACGAAACUUGCCCCGAGAUGAGUUCUCCCUGAGACUUAGAGUCUCCUGAAGGAACGUUGAAGACGACGACGUUGAUAGGCCGGGUGUGUAAGCGCA
rnacentral:rRNA from 1 species